GAUGAACGCUGGCGGCGUGCCUAAUACAUGCAAGUCGAGCGAACGGACGAGAAGCUUGCUUCUCUGAUGUUAGCGGCGGACGGGUGAGUAACACGUGGAUAACCUACCUAUAAGACUGGGAUAACUUCGGAAAACCGGAGCUAAUACCGGAUAAUAUUUUGAACCGCAUGGUUCAAAAGUGAAAGACGGUCUUGCUGUCACUUAUAGAUGGAUCCGCGCUGCAUUAGCUAGUUGGUAAGGUAACGGCUUACCAAGGCAACGAUGCAUAGCCGACCUGAGAGGGUGAUCGGCCACACUGGAACUGAGACACGGUCCAGACUCCUACGGGAGGCAGCAGUAGGGAAUCUUCCGCAAUGGGCGAAAGCCUGGCGGAGCAACGCCGCGUGAGUGAUGAAGGUCUUCGGAUCGUAAAACUCUGUUAUUAGGGAAGAACAUAUGUGUAAGUAACUGUGCACAUCUUGACGGUACCUAAUCAGAAAGCCACGGCUAACUACGUG
rnacentral:rRNA from 1 species